AAUUUUGGACAAUGGGGGAAACCCUGAUCCAGCAAUCCCGCGUGUAUGAUGAAGACCUUCGGGUUGUAAAGUACUUUUGGCAGAGAAGAAAAGGUACCUCCUAACACGAGGUACUGCUGACGGUAUCUGCAGAAUAAGCACCGGCUAACUAGGUCCCAGCAGCCGCGGUAAUACGGAGGGUGCAAGCGUUAAUCGGAAUUACUGGGCGUAAAGCGUGUGUAGGCGGUUCGGAAAGAAAGAUGUGAAAUCCCAGGGCUCAACCUUGGAACUGCAUUUUUAACUGCCGUGCUAGAGUAUGUCAGAGGGGGGUAGAAUUCCACGUGUAGCAGUGACAUGCGUAGAUAUGUGGAGGAAUACCGAUGGCGAAGGCAGCCCCCUGGGAUAAUACUGACGCUCAGACACGAAAGCGUGGGGAGCAAACAG
rnacentral:rRNA from 1 species